rnacentral:rRNA from 1 species
GAUGAACGCUGGCGGCGUGCCUAAUACAUGCAAGUCGAGCGAACGGACGAGAAGCUUGCUUUUCUGAUGUUAGCGGCGGACGGGUGAGUAACACGUGGAUAACCUACCUAUAAGACUGGGAUAACUUCGGGAAACCGGAGCUAAUACCGGAUAAUAUUUUGAACCGCAUGGUUCAAAAGUGAAAGACGGUCUUGCUGUCACUUAUAGAUGGAUCCGCGCUGCAUUAGCUAGUUGGUAAGGUAACGGCUUACCAAGGCAACGAUGCAUAGCCGACCUGAGCGGGUGAUCGGCCACACUGGAACUGAGACACGGUCCAGACUCCUACGCGAGGCAGCAGUAGGGAAUCUUCCGCGAAGGGCGAGAGCGUGACGGAGCAAAGCCGCGUGAGUGAUGAAGGUCUUCGGAUCGUAAAACUCUGUUAUUAGGGAAGAACAAAUGUGUAAGUAACUGUGCACAUCUUGACGGUACCUAAUCAGAAAGCCACGGCUAACUACGUG